rnacentral:rRNA from 1 species
GGGAACCUCAGGUCAGGCGGG